AGUGAACGCUGGCGGUAGGCCUAACACAUGCAAGUCGAACGGCAGCACAGUAAGAGCUUGCUCUUACGGGUGGCGAGUGGCGGACGGGUGAGGCAUACAUCGGAAUCUACUUUUUCGUGGGGGAUAACGUAGGGAAACUUACGCUAAUACCGCAUACGACCUACGGGUGAAAGCAGGGGAUAUUCGGACCUUGCGCGAUUGAAUGAGCCGAUGUCGGAUUAGCUAGUUGGCGGGGUAAAGGCCCACCAAGGCGACGAUGCGUAGCUGGUCUGAGAGGAUGAUCAGCCACACUGGAACUGAGACACGGUCCAGACUCCUACGGGAGGCAGCAGUGGGGAAUAUUGGACAAUGGGCGCAAGCCUGAUCCAGCCAUGCCGCGUGGGUGAAGAAGGCCUUCGGGUUGUAAAGCCCUUUUGUUGGGAAAGAAAAGCAGCAGGAUAAUACCCCGCUGUUCUGACGGUACCCAAAGAAUAAGCACCGGCUAACUUCGUG
rnacentral:rRNA from 1 species